rfam:Cavia porcellus supercont2_68 genomic scaffold, whole genome shotgun sequence.
GGGAAUUUAGCUUAGCGGCAUAAGCGCCUGCCUUGAAAGCAGGCAGUCGUGAGUUCGAUCCCUGGUACCUA